GACGAACGCUGGCGGCGUGCCUAAUACAUGCAAGUAGAACGCUGAAGGAGGAGCUUGCUUCUCUGGAUGAGUUGCGAACGGGUGAGUAACGCGUAGGUAACCUGCCUGGUAGCGGGGGAUAACUAUUGGAAACGAUAGCUAAUACCGCAUAAUAGUAGAUGUUGCAUGACAUUUGCUUAAAAGGUGCAAUUGCAUCACUACCAGAUGGACCUGCGUUGUAUUAGCUAGUUGGUGGGGUAACGGCUCACCAAGGCGACGAUACAUAGCCGACCUGAGAGGGUGAUCGGCCACACUGGGACUGAGACACGGCCCAGACUCCUACGGGAGGCAGCAGUAGGGAAGCUUCGGCAAUGGACGGAAGUCUGACCGAGCAACGCCGCGUGAGUGAAGAAGGUUUUCGGAUCGUAAAGCUCUGUUGUAAGAGAAGAACGAGUGUGAGAGUGGAAAGUUCACACUGUGACGGUAUCUUACCAGAAAGGGACGGCUAACUACGUG
rnacentral:rRNA from 1 species